UACGUGGGGUGCGAGCGUUGUCCGGAUUUAUUGGGCGUAAAGAGCUCGUAGGCGGUUCAGUAAGUCAGGUGUGAAAUCUUUGGGCUUAACCCAAAGCGUGCACUUGAUACUGCUGUGACUUGAGUUCGGUAGGGGAGUGGGGAAUUCCUAGUGUAGCGGUGAAAUGCGCAGAUAUUAGGAGGAACACCGGUGGCGAAGGCGCCACUCUGGGCCGAAACUGACGCUGAGGAGCGAAAGCGUGGGUAGCAAACAGG
rnacentral:rRNA from 1 species